rnacentral:rRNA from 1 species
AAAAUGGAGAGUUUGAUCCUGGCUCAGGAUGAACGCUGGCGGUCUGCUUAACACAUGCAAGUCGAACGAGCACUUCGGUGCUAGUGGCGGACGGGUGAGUAACACGUGAGAAUCUACCCUCAGGAGGGGGAUAACGGCUGGAAACGGCCGCUAAUACCCCAUAUGCCGCAAGGUGAAAUCUUUUUUGGCCUGAGGAUGAGCUCGCGGUGGAUUAGCUAGUUGGUGGGGUAAUGGCCUACCAAGGCGACGAUCCAUAGCUGGUCUGAGAGGAUGAUCAGCCACACUGGGACUGAGACACGGCCCAGACU